UGUGUGUGUGUGGUGUGUUGUGGUCUGCAGUAGUGGAUGAGGGUACGACUCUCGCUAUCAGGACCUAGCAUCUGCCAUCAAGCGGAACGUUCCUGAUGCGACGGUGACGGGAACCACGGGGCGGCGCUCCAGUUUCGAGGUAACAGUGAAUGGUAAACUGGCCUUCUCUAAACUGGAGGCAGGAGGAUUCCCAGACAGCAAGGAGAUGGUGGCGAUGGU